rnacentral:rRNA from 1 species
CCCCUUGCCCGGCGGGCCUUACACAUGCAAGUCGAGCGGUAGCACAGGGGAGCUUGCUCCCUGGGUGACGAGCGGCGGACGGGUGAGUAAUGUCUGGGAAACUGCCUGAUGGAGGGGGAUAACUACUGGAAACGGUAGCUAAUACCGCAUAACGUCGCAAGACCAAAGAGGGGGACCUUCGGGCCUCUUGCCAUCAGAUGUGCCCAGAUGGGAUUAGCUAGUAGGUGGGGUAAUGGCUCACCUAGGCGACGAUCCCUAGCUGGUCUGAGAGGAUGACCAGCCACACUGGAACUGAGACACGGUCCAGACUCCUACGGGAGGCAGCAGUGGGGAAUAUUGCACAAUGGGCGCAAGCCUGAUGCAGCCAUGCCGCGUGUGUGAAGAAGGCCUUCGGGUUGUAAAGCACUUUCAGCGAGGAGGAAGGUGGUGAACUUAAUACGUUCAUCAAUUGACGUUACUCGCAGAAGAAGCACCGGCUAACUCCGUGCCAGCAGCCGCGGUAAUACGGAGGGUGCAAGCGUUAAUCGGAAUUACUGGGCGUAAAGCGCACGCAGGCGGUUUGUUAAGUCAGAUGUGAAAUCCCCGGGCUCAACCUGGGAACUGCAUUUGAAACUGGCAAGCUAGAGUCUCGUAGAGGGGGGUAGAAUUCCAGGUGUAGCGGUGAAAUGCGUAGAGAUCUGGAGGAAUACCGGUGGCGAAGGCGGCCCCCUGGACGAAGACUGACGCUCAGGUGCGAAAGCGUGGGGAGCAAACAGGAUUAGAUACCCUGGUAGUCCACGCUGUAAACGAUGUCGAUUUGGAGGUUGUGCCCUUGAGGCGUGGCUUCCGGAGCUAACGCGUUAAAUCGACCGCCUGGGGAGUACGGCCGCAAGGUUAAAACUCAAAUGAAUUGACGGGGGCCCGCACAAGCGGUGGAGCAUGUGGGUUUAAUUCGAUGCAACGCGAAGAACCUUACCUACUCUUGACAUCCAGAGAACUUUUCAGAGAUGGGAUUGUUGCCUUCGGGAACUCUGGAGACAGGUGCUGCAUUGGCUGUCGUCAGCUCGUGUUGUGGAAUGUUAGGGUUAAGUUCCCGCACGAAGCGCAACCUUAUCCUUUGUGCUCAGGUCGGUUCGGGCCGGUACUCAAGGGAAACUGACAAUGCAUCAACCUGGGAGCAAAGUGGGGAAAUGACGUCAGAUCACUCCAUGGCCGUACGGAGUACGGCUUACCAGCGGUGGCAUACAAUGGCGGGUAUUACUGAAUGGACGAUAGGCAUAAACU